rnacentral:rRNA from 1 species
UCGCCCUUAGUUGCCAUCAUUUAGUUGGGCACUCUAAGGGGACUGCCGGUGAUAAGCCGGAGGAAGGUGGGGAUGACGUCAAGUCCUCAUGGCCCUUACGGGCUGGGCUACACACGUGCUACAAUGGCGGUGACAGAGGGAUGCAAAGGGGCGACCCUUCGCAAAUCUCAAAAAUCCGUCUCAGUUCGGAUUGGGGUCUGCAACUCGACCCCAUGAAGUUGGAAUCGCUAGUAAUCGCAGAUCAGCACGCUGUGGUGAAUACGUUCCCGGGCCUU